AGGAAAUUCCACCACCCUCUACCAUACUCUAGUCAGUCAGUUUUGAAUGCAGUUCCCCAGGUUGAGCCCGGGGAUUUCACAUCCAACUUAACAAACCACCUACGCGCGCUUUACGCCCAGUAAUUCCGAUUAACGCUUGCACCCUCUGUAUUACCGCGGCUGCUGGCACAGAGUUAGCCGGUGCUUAUUCUGUCGGUAACGUCAAAAUUGCAGAGUAUUAAUCUACAACCCUUCCUCCCAACUUAAAGUGCUUUACAAUCCGAAGACCUUCUUCACACACGCGGCAUGGCUGGAUCAGGCUUUCGCCCAUUGUCCAAUAUUCCCCACUGCUGCCUCCCGUAGGAGUCUGGACCGUGUCUCAGUUCCAGUGUGACUGAUCAUCCUCUCAGACCAGUUACGGAUCGUCGCCUUGGUGAGCCAUUACCUCACCAACUAGCUAAUCCGACCUAGGCUCAUCUGAUAGCGCAAGGCCCGAAGGUCCCCUGCUUUCUCCCGUAGGACGUAUGGGGUAUUAGCGUCCGUUUCCGAACGUUAUCCCCCACCACCAGGCAGAUUCCUAGGCAUUACUCACCCGUCCGCCGCUCUCAAGAGAAGCAAGCUUCUCUCUACCGCUCGACUUGCAUGUGUUAGGCCUGCCGCCAGCGUUCAAUCUGAGCCAUGAUCAAACUCU
rnacentral:rRNA from 1 species